rnacentral:rRNA from 1 species
AGCUCGUGUCGUGAGAUGUUGGGUUAAGUCCGUAACGAGCGCAACCCUUGUCCUUAGUUUACCAGCACGUUAUGGUGGGCACUCUAAGGAGACUGCCGGUGACAAACCGGAGGAAGGUGGGGAGUGACGUCAAGUCAUCAUGGCCCUUACGGCCUGGGCUACACACGUGCUACAAUGGUCGGUACAAAGGGUUGCCAAGCCGCGAGGUGGAGCUAAUCCCAUAAAACCGAUCGUAGUCCGGAUCGCAGUCUGCAACUCGACUGCGUGAAGUCGGAAUUGCUAGUAAUCGUGAAUCAGAAUGUCACGGUGAAUACGUUCCCGGGCUUU